GGAAUAUAAGAACCCGUCUCUUAACUUUUAACUAAAAAAGUUAAGAACCGGUUCUUAACUUUUUAGUUAAAAGUUAAGAGACGGGUUCUUAUAUACC
rnacentral:pre_miRNA from 1 species